GAAAGGACCAAAAGGAACACCCAUUGUGUAAGCCGAGGUUCGUGGUAACUUCUCCAUGACACUACAGAGUGCUUUCUGUGUUGGACAUAAAGAAUAGCUAACACUUUUUCAAUCUGGUCACGCAGCUUCCUAAGUUUUUGAUAAAGAAGACUUGAGAGGGAAGACUUCUGAGUAAGCCCUGGGAAAAACAGAUCUUCCUGUGUGACAGGGUUUUUGUAAGGCGGAGCUCAGCCACUGACUAGCCAAGACACUCUGAGAGUUCACGUAGCCUCUCUAUGCCUCAGUUUCUUCCGUGGUAAUUUCAGGGUAGCAGAAAUCUCCAUAUCCAAGAUUGCUUUGCAAGUAAAUGAAUUAAGAGAUGAAAUCAUUUAUGAAAGCGCCCAGAAGACAACAAGCAACAUCAUUAUGUUGAGACCAUUAUACUAAUAGAAUAAAAUGAUGAACUAAACAAGGCCUUUCAAAAGGUUUCAUUUACCCAUAGACCCUGCAGACGCCAGACAAAGAAUACAGUGAAGUGAAUGAAAAUAUUCACUCUGUUUAAGACCUUCAGAUUCUGGUAAAGGAAAUACACUAAGAAACAAUCAAUAAUGAUAAAAUCAGUAAAGAAGAUGGAUUCAAGGUUAAUCAUGGUGAUCGUUAAACUUCUGUGUCUGCUUGGCAGGGUCACUGGGUGCCCAGUUGUUUGGUGACCUUACUGUGAAGUUCCCUAAGAGAAUAUGUUGGGAGGAGAUUAGCGUUUGCAUUGAUGGACGGGAGAAGCAGUUUGCUUUUUAACUCAUGGAACCAAAUGAAACCUGAACAGAAUAAAAAGAGAAAAUUCCUCUUGCCUCACUGCCCUGGAAACUGGACACAGGCUUUCCCCUUGCCUUCCAAUCUCAAGAUGAGAAACUGGCUUUUUCUCAGCAUCUUGCCAAAGUCUCAUGUCAGUGACUUGAAUCCCUCGGCCCUCCCCUUAGAAGACAACACAACAGAAUCUGGUUGCCUGUGAAGUAGUGUGAGUCCGCCGGACGGAGCCUAGGAGGGAGCUAAACAUGUACACAUCCGCUGGUCCCUUCAUCGGUGCCACAGCAGGGGACUGUCUGCUAAAAAAGAUGAGCCAGAGCCGCUUAAGACGCCAUCAAAAGAG
rnacentral:lncRNA from 1 species